rnacentral:rRNA from 1 species
UACGGAAGGCAGCAGUGGGGAAUAUUGCACAAUGGGCGCAAGCCUGAUGCAGCCAUGCCGCGUGUAUGAAGAAGGCCUUCGGGUUGUAAAGUACUUUCAGUCGUGAGGAAGGUGUUAAGGUUAAUAACCUUAGCAAUUGACGUUAGCGACAGAAGAAGCACCGGCUAACUCCGUGCCAGCAGCCGCGGUAAUACGGAGGGUGCGAGCGUUAAUCGGAAUUACUGGGCGUAAAGGGCACGCAGGCGGUUAAUUAAGUUGGAUGUGAAAUCCCCGGGCUUAACCUGGGAAUGGCAUUCAAGACUGGUUAGCUAGAGUCUUGUAGAGGGGGUAGAAUUCCGAUGUGUAGCGGUGAAAUGCGUAGAGAUGUGGAGGAAUACCGGUGGCGAAGGCGGCCCCUGGACAAAGGCUGACGCUCAUGUGCGAAAGCGUGGGGAGCAAACG